rnacentral:rRNA from 1 species
AUUGAACGCUGGCGGCAGGCCUAACACAUGCAAGUCGAGCGAGCGGCGGACGGGUGAGUAAUGUCUGGGGAUCUGCCUGAUAGAGGGGGAUAACUACUGGAAACGGUGGCUAAUACCGCAUACUAUCGGAUGAACCCAUAUGGGAUUAGCUAGUAGGUGGGGUAAAGGCUCACCUAGGCGACGAUCUCUAGCUGGUCUGAGAGGAUGAUCAGCCACACUGGAACUGAGACACGGCCCAGACUCCUACGGGAGGCAGCAGUGGGGAAUAUUGCACAAUGGGCUCAAGCCUGAUGCAGCCAUGCCGCGUGUAUGAAGAAGGCCUUCGGGUUGUAAAGCACUUUCAGCGGGGAGGCGUUACCCGCAGAAGAAGCACCGGCUAACUCCGUGCCAGCCGCCGCGGUAAUUC